GUGACUUUCCCAGAGUCGCAGCAUAAUGGCACUCACAUAAAGCAGACAACAGCACUUCGAAAGGUUUCUUGGAAAUCCAGGUCUACCAUGUAUGUCCACUUUCUUAUAACGAUCCCAAAUGCUGAAGAACAAAUUAUUUCCAAUUCAAAAUGCUAUGAAGCAAACAAACUGGAUGUCACAAAGCCCCAAGCUCACAUUUCAGGUUUUUCUUUCAAUCAUGGAAGCUCAACUAACCAUGCUUGGAGAGUAAGAGGUCCUAUGCCUGUAACUCAUUGAAUUCCCAUGAUAAAAACAUGCAAGCAACCAAAUGACCCAAAGGACUCUUCACUUGAGCCCAGCUAUUGUUUCCGGAGACCUCUGAGCCGAUGAUACCCGGGAGAUCUCUUGCUCCACCUUGCUUUGCUGGUCCACGGCCAUGCGGGUCAUGUCCUUCAUUUGGAAACCCAGA